GUCGCUUCUCGGCCUUUUGGCUAAGAUCAAGUGUAGUAUCUGUUCUUAUCAGUUUAAUAUCUGAUACGUCCCCUAUCUGGGGACCAUAUAUUAAAUUGAUUUUUGGAACAGGGAGAUGGAAUAGGGCUUGCUCAAAAAAAAAAAAUGUUGAUGGAAAAUGAAGAUUUACACAAUGUGAUUUUAU